rnacentral:rRNA from 1 species
UACGGAGGGUGCAAGCGUUAAUCGGAAUUACUGGGCGUAAAGCGCACGCAGGUGGCUGAGUCAGUCGAUUGUGAAAGCCCUGGGCUUAACCUGGGAAUUGCAGUCGAUACUACUCAGCUAGAGUAUGGGAGAGGGCAGUGGAAUUCCCGGUGUAGCGGUGAAAUGCGUAGAUAUCGGGAGGAACAUCAGUGGCGAAGGCGGGUCUCUGGACAGUUCCUGACGCUGAGGCACGAAGGCCAGGGGAGCAAACGGG